rnacentral:rRNA from 1 species
GACGAACGCUGGCGGCGUGCUUAACACAUGCAAGUCGAACGGAAAGGCCCUGCCUUUGUGGGGUGCUCGAGUGGCGAACGGGUGAGUAACACGUGAGUAACCUGCCCUUGACUUUGGGAUAACUUCAGGAAACUGGGGCUAAUACCGGAUAGGAUCUCCUGCUGCAUGGUGGGGGUUGGAAAGUUUCGGCGGUUGGGGCUGGACUCGCGGCUUAUCAGCUUGUUGGUGGGGUAGUUGCUUACCAAGGCUUUGACGGGUAGCCGGCCUGAGAGGGUGAACGGCCACCAUGGGCCUGAGAUACGGCCCAGACUCCUACGGGAGGCAGCAGUGGGAAAUAUUGCACAGUGGGCGGAAGCCUGAUGCAGCAACGCCGCGUGCGGGAUGACGGCCUUCGGGUUGUAAACCGCUUUCGCCUGUGACGAAGCGUGAGUGACGGUAAUGGGUAAAGAAGCACCGGCUAACUACGUG